UGGUCUAUGGUGUAAUUGGCAGCACGACUGGUUCUGGUCCAGUUAGUCUAGGUUCGAGUCCUAGUAGACCAG
rnacentral:tRNA from 8 species